UGGGUUAGUCCGCACGAGCGCACCUUGUCACUAGUUGCUACGUAAGGGCACUCUAGUGAGACUGCCGGUGACAAACCGGAGGAAGGUGGGGAUGACGUCAAGUCCUCAUGGCCCUUAUGGGUAGGGCUUCACACGUCAUACAAUGGUUGGUACAGAGGGUUGCUAACCCGCGAGGGGGAGCCAAUCCCUUAAAACCAAUCGUAGUCCGGAUUGUAGUCUGCAACUCGACUGCAUGAAGUCGGAAUCGCUAGUAAUCGCGGAUCAGAAUGCCGCGGUGAAUACGUUCCCGGGUCUUGUACACACCGCCCGUCACACCAUGGGAGCGGGUUUUACCAGAAGUAGCUAGCUUAACCGUAAGGAAAGCGGUUACCACGGUAGGAUUCGUGACUGGGGUGAAGUCGUAACAAGGUAGCCGUAUCGGAAGGUGCGGCUGGAUCACCUCCUUUCU
rnacentral:rRNA from 1 species